AUGGGAGCUGGGAUGAAACGCACGAGGGAGGAGGAGCCAGCCGUGUCGCUGGCACUGUCCCUCAGCACGGAUCCCGCGUCUUCCGCCGUAACGUCAGCCGACUCAGGCGCUGGUGCGCCGGCCAAGCGCAGGAGGGGCGCCGUGGUAGCGACGUCGGGGGAGGGGGAGUUCGUGUGCAAGACGUGCGGGCGGGCCUUCGCGACGUUCCAGGCGCUGGGCGGGCACCGGACCAGCCACCUCCGCGGCCGCCACGGGCUGGAGCUCGGCGUCGGCGUCGCCAGAGCCAUCAAGCAACGGAAAAAGCAGCGGCACGAGUGCCACAUCUGCGGGCUCGGGUUCGAGAUGGGCCAGGCGCUGGGGGGACACAUGAGGCGGCACCGCGAGGACAUGGCACUCGGCGGCGCCGACGACCAGCGGGUCGCGCUGCUCUCGGAUCAGGAGGUGGCGGGGCACCAGGCCGCGGCCGACCAGCCGCCGGUCUUGCUCGAGCUGUUCGUCUAG
rnacentral:rRNA from 1 species